rnacentral:rRNA from 1 species
AGGGAAUCUUCGGCAAUGGGGGGAACCCUGACCGAGCAACGCCGCGUGAGUGAAGAAGGUUUUCGGAUCGUAAAGCUCUGUUGUUAAGGAAGAACGAGUGUGAGAAUGGAAAGUUCAUGCUGUGACGGUACUUAACCAGAAAGGGACGGCUAACUACGUGCCAGCAGCCGCGGUAAUACGUAGGUCCCGAGCGUUGUCCGGAUUUAUUGGGCGUAAAGCGAGCGCAGGCGGUUAGAAAAGUCUGAAGUGAAAGGCAGUGGCUCAACCAUUGUAGGCUUUGGAAACUGUUUAACUUGAGUGCAGAAGGGGAGAGUGGAAUUCCAUGUGUAGCGGUGAAAUGCGUAGAUAUAUGGAGGAACACCGGUGGCGAAAGCGGCUCUCUGGUCUGUAACUGACGCUGAGGCUCGAAAGCGUGGGGAGCGAACAGGAUUAGAUACCCUGGUAGUCCACGCCGUAAACGAUGAGUGCUAGGUGUUAGGUCCUUUCCGGGACUUAGUGCCGCAGCUAACGCAUUAAGCACUCCGCCUGGGGAGUACGACCGCAAGGUUGAAACUCAAAGGAAUUGACGGGGGCCCGCACAAGCGGUGGAGCAUGUGGUUUAAUUCGAAGCAACGCGAAGAACCUUACCAGGUCUUGACAUCCCAGUGACUGCCCUAGAGAUAGGGUUUCCCUUCGGGGCACUGGUGACAGGUGGUGCAUGGUUGUCGUCAGCUCGUGUCGUGAGAUGUUGGGUUAAGUC